GCCAGCGUGGCCUAGUGGUUUGAGCGUUAGACUAGGACCCUGAAGACCAGGCUUUGAAUCCCUGUUUGACC